ACAAGCUGAGGACUAUCCAGUUGUUAUGCAGUUCCUACCUUACAGCUGAGUUCUCGUUUGUUUCACUCAUUUUUCAAUGAGGAAUUUAAAAGUAAUCACAACUUGGCUCGGUUGCAUGUUUACAACAAUUAAUCACUCCUGCACUUCAAAAGAAGACUACGCCCUUCUUAGGGACUCAUCGCAGGAAUUACGCCCCCCG
rnacentral:lncRNA from 1 species